AUACAAAACCAAGACCUAAGACAUAAGACCUAAGACCUAAGAUCCCCCGGAGUACAAAACUAAGACCCAGGUACAAAACUAAGAUCCCCCGAGGUACAAAACUAAGACCCGGGGAGGCCAAUUCCAAACUAAAAUUUUGAAGAAAAAUAUCAGAGUCUUAGUUUUGUACAAAACUAAGACCCAAUUCCAAACUGAAAUUUUGAAGAAAAAUAUCAGAGUCUUAGUUUUGUACAUCAGGGGAUCUUAGUUUUGUACGUACAAAACUAAGAUCCCCCGAGGUACAAAACUAAGACCCAAUUCCAAACUGAAAUUUUGAAGAAAAAUAUCAGAGUCUUAGUUUUGUACAUCAGGGGAUCUUAGUUUCCAAAUUCUGCCCCUCUUUCGAAUUCAUUUUGAUGUAGUAAUGUCACCUUUGAGAUGCAUGCAGUUGCUCCAUCUGAAUAAUACCUCCAUAUGCACUAUGCAGGCACGACCGGUCAUCACUCUAGCAUAUACUCUAGCAUAUACGGCCUCCAUCCAGCUCCACAAAAAGUGGCGAAACCGGUGCAAUAUGCCAGUAGCACGUGGAUCAUGCCGAGCGGCGCUGUCAGGUGUUUCCACUAUGGGUUACAUAAUCGGCUACAAAGAGGCCAGUGUUCUAGUAAAUGAAGUUAGCAAUGAUAGCGAAGAAUGUUAGUGUAUGUUACGAAGUCAAUAGCGAUAGUAGUGAGUUGGAGAGAGGAGAAACUUCCAUCGGGAUAUUUGGUAGAGGCAGACCUUCAAGAGUCCCAAGAAGAAACUUUGCAAAGUCUUCAUCAAACUGAUAAUCAUAUUCCUUCCUUCUCUGCCUAUAUUGCAAUAACGUUGUUUGACUCGGUUAGUAUGUAAUUGAUGGAUAAGAAAACGUUCAUAUUUUACUCGUUCCAACUCUUCCGAUGGCGGCGCUCCUCC